UAGUCCACGCCGUAAACGAUGAUUACUAGGUGCUCGAAAUACUAACUUUUUGGGUACCGUAGCUCACGCAUUAAGUAAUCCGCCUGGGGAGUACGGUCGCAAGGCUAAAACUCAAAGGAAUUGACGGGGGCCCGCACAAGCGGUGGAGUAUGUGGUUUAAUUCGAAGCAACGCGCAGAACCUUACCUGGCCUUGACAUUUAGCGACAACCCCAGAGAUGGGGCCUUCACUUCGGUGACGCUAGGACAGAUGCUGCAUGGCUGUCGUCAGCUCGUGUCGUAAGAUGUUGGGUUAAGUCCCGCAACGAGCGCAACCCUUAUCCUUAGUUGCCAGCAUUAAGUUGGGCACUCUGGGGAGACUGCCGGUGUUAAACCGGAGGAAGGCGGGGAUGACGUCAAGUCCUCAUGGCUCUUACGGCCAGGGCCACACACGUACUACAAUGGCAAAGACAAAGGGUAGCAAUAUCGCGAGAUGGAGCCAAUCCCAAAAACAUUGUCUCAGUCCGGAUUGAAGUCUGCAAUUCGA
rnacentral:rRNA from 1 species